AGAUUGAACGCUGGCGGCAGGCCUAACACAUGCAAGUCGAGCGGUAGAGAGGUGCUUGCAUCUCUUGAGAGCGGCGGACGGGUGAGUAAUGCCUAGGAAUCUGCCUAGUGGUGGGGGAUAACGUUCGGAAACGGACGCUAAUACCGCAUACGUCCUACGGGAGAAAGCGGGGGACCUUCGGGCCUCGCGCGAUUGGAGCGGCUGAUAUCAGAGUUUAGGUUGUUGGUGAGGUAAAGCUCACCAAGCCUUCGAUCUGUAGC
rnacentral:rRNA from 1 species